rnacentral:misc_RNA from 1 species
AAGUCGUAACAAGGUAUCUGUAGGUGAACCUGCAGAUGGAUCAUCAUUGAUUCUUUUACCUGGGAGGAAUCAAACUUCGUGUCUGUUUCUUCCCGCAAGGUGUGGCUCCGCACCUUUUCAAUCUAAACUGGGCUACCAUUUUACCACACGGUUGCAUCUUGUCGGGGAAGCGCUUGUCGCGAUCCCGGCAAACCACAAUUAACACACGCUGAUCUUUAGGAUUUGUAUGGUUUUAUGAUAACGUCUGGUAAUGCGGUCGUAUAAUCUUUAAAAACAACUUUUGGCAACGGAUCUCUUGGUUCUC